AUUGAACGCUGGCGGCAGGCCUAACACAUGCAAGUCGAGCGGAUGAAGGGAGCUUGCUCCUGGAUUCAGCGGCGGACGGGUGAGUAAUGCCUAGGAAUCUGCCUGGUAGUGGGGGAUAACGUCCGGAAACGGGCGCUAAUACCGCAUACGUCCUGAGGGAGAAAGUGGGGGAUCUUCGGACCUCACGCUAUCAGAUGAGCCUAGGUCGGAUUAGCUAGUUGGUGGGGUAAAGGCCUACCAAGGCGACGAUCCGUAACUGGUCUGAGAGGAUGAUCAGUCACACUGGAACUGAGACACGGUCCAGACCCCUACGGGAGGCAGCAGUGGGGAAUAUUGGACAAGGGGCGAAAGCCUGCGCCAGCCAUGCCGCGUGGGUGAAGAAGGCCUUCGGAUGGUAAAGCACUUUAAGUGGGGAGGAAGGGCAGUAAGUUAAUACCUUGCUGUUUUGACGUUACCAACAGAAUAAGCACCGGCUAACUUCGU
rnacentral:rRNA from 1 species